ensembl:lncRNA
UGUGUGUUUAGUCCGGGGCUGUUGAGUGAUGUGUUCAGGCUGUGAACAGCAGCACCUGUGUGUCGGUGUGGGAUAAAUGAGCAGUGCUGUGAUACUCUCCUGGAUCUGAUCUCUCCACUGGGACCCUCAGGACUGACGCAGCGACCCCGCUUAAGCCACCAGCUUUCUGUCAGGUUUCUAUGAGUCUGUGCUUGUGGACUUUGAUUUCUAAUAGUCUGAAAGCAUUUUUCUGUGAGUCCAACCAUCUUGAAACUGGUGUCUGGCAACUGUGCAGGCAUUUGAGCAGAUACAGAGAGAGCUGUGAAAUCCCAU